UGGAACUGCGUUUUAAAAGUUCUGUAUCCAGGGGCCUAAACCCGCUGUAUAUGCAAGUUAAUUAGUAUCUCUAGUCUACGGCAAACCGACGAUUACAGGGAGAGUUCGCCGUGGCGGUGCUCCCUGUUCGAGCAGAGGUUCGUUAACUUUCUCUUGUUUUGUUUUCUGAUUAGACUGUAUGCAUAAAGCACUGCAUGUCUUAUUUACUGCGGGCUCUGGCUUGAAUAGGCCUAACCACUCCUAGUUCCCGUCUACCUCACAAUGACAAUAUAAUACUUGUGUGUGCUUGACUUAUGUGAUAUAUCUCCACAGAUAACGAUGUGAGAGAGAACGACGGAAAUAGUGACGGGAGUGGCAUGGUUUUAAUUUUAAAAAUUUACAGUGGCUACUAGCCGAUAACGUAAACAGUACUAUAGUAGUGACAUUUUUCUGAUUUGUCACAUUUACAGUGGCAUGGAUCCAAUUAACCCUAUACAGUACCAUAUUCACUCGUAGAUUUUAUUAUGAGACAGAUAAAGCAAUAGCGAAGCUUUCUUUUCUAGCCGUAUGUGUUUUACUUGGGCCGUACAACCACUGCUGGUCACUUUGUACGUUACGCACGCGCUGUGCUCAACCUCUUUGUGGACAAUUGCGCGCCGCGACUGACACUUCGACGGUAACUGCUAGAUAUCUGCAGCAUGUGAAGUAAAACUUUGGCAAGAGGACGUAAUACUGGUCUACUGCCUCCGGAGAUGGAAAAUCUGGAUCGGUAAAAGCGGUCGAGAACUCGAGAUACGGCAGAGAAAUGGACGAGGGCGCCAGAUGUGACACUGCUGUAGAAUUGUGUUUUUUAAGGCCAUUGUCCAAGGACCAACUGCCCAAUCUGGUACUACUUGUCUUCGGCAAAACAGAUUUACAGGGAGAAUUCGCAACCGCUGUUCGCUCCGAGUGGAGAUUCCCGUCGAUUCCUAUCAGUGAUAUGUGUUCCGAGCAAGAGCAACCCGUGAAACUCGCCAUGUUUAUACAACUGGUGUUGUUGCUGCUAUUUUAUGGAGUUGGUAACGUCGUCCAUUGCUCAACUGUCCACGAGUUCAGCAUCGAUCUGCAAUCACUGCUAGAUUUCAAGAAAGGCAUCACGGAAAGAUCCAAGCGGAGCCUUAAGUUCUUGGAACACUAGCACUCACUUCUGUUGGUGGAAAGGUGUCAUGUGCACCACUGCACGGCCGUUUCGCGUCUCAACGCUGAAUCUCUCCGCCCAAAGCUUGGCAGGGGAAAUCACCUCCUCCCUUGCAAACCUCACGUUUCUUCGUGCACUUGACUUGUCCUCAAAUCGCUUCUUUGGUCGGUUCCCUCUCCUUAACCACCUACAGCAUCUGGGUUUUCUUUACAUGAAUGACAACUCACUCGAUGGGAUUAUUUCGGACACACUUACAAAUUGUUCCAAAUUGACACAAAUAGACCUCUCUAAUAACCAGCUGCAGGGUGCAAUUCCUCCUAGAAUAGGAUCCCUAGAGUAUCUGAACCUUGGCAAUAAUAGUCUCACUGGAAUCAUCCCUGCAACCAUUGGAAACCUUGUCAAAUUUGGAUAUUUGAACCUUGGUAUGAAUAAUCUCACUGGAAUCAUCCCUGCAACCGUUGAAAAUCUCACCCUGUUAACAGUUCUCAGGCUUGAAUACAAUCAGUUUGAAGGAAAAAUCCCAGAUGGGGUCUGGCAAUUGGCAAAUCUGACAUAUCUUCUCCUAGGUCAGAAUAGGCUAUCAGGUGGAUUCCACAGGCCCUAAGCCUGCCUCUUCUCACAUUACUUUGGCUUUUGGCACCAAACUUUGGCUAUGCCCUCCAAAGUAUCCAACAGGUAAAACAAGUUUGAAGGUCACAUUUCAGCAGUGUUACUGAGCAAAACAUGGCAUCAGUAAUUCAGAAUCGUCGCAGUACUAAUGUGCUCCCAAGUGCAAAUGCACCUAUAAUUUUACCAUUUGAAUCAUUGCAAUAAGAUAACAUCUAUAAUCCUCAGGAAGCUUACAUCCAGCAAGACCCUUUUUGUGAUGUUAUCAUGUUUUUUUUCUUGAAUGGAAUCAGCACGAGAUUAUGCUA